UGCUGACAGUAGGUCAAGGAAAUAAGCAACACUGGUAAAUAUUUUUCUUCACAUAAAUACCACUAACCUUUGAGUUAGACAGACACACACAAACACAAAAAAAAAAAUAGAUUAAACUUCCUGAUAUUAUCAUAUUAGCAAUACUCAUACUUAUUUGUAUAAUAUAUGGAGAAAAUGUCUUCGGAAAAUAAAAUUAUUUGGAUAAUUUGGAGGAUAUGAUACUACUGCAUUCAGUUUUCUUAACGAUUUGUUGCAUCCAAGUUAAAAACUAAAUUAAACAACCUCAAAUCAAGUCUGGGGAGGGGAGAAGCAGAAGAGAAAUCCUAUUUUAGUUAAUAAUGUUAGUCGAGACUAUUGGUUGACCCACACUUAGUUCCAAUAUGCUUUUUAUACACACAGAUGCACACAUGCACACAGGCAGAAACACACACAUUAAUUGAGGCAGGUGUAUAUUAUAUAUCCUCAGUUACUGCAACUGCCUUUUUCACUACAUAAGUGUAAGUUGAAACCAAAUAUUCAUGUACAGAAAAAUAGCUAUAUCAUUUCCUAAUACCUAUAGUAGAUUCCCCAAAGCAGCAAUAUUAAAAUAAGCUUAUGCAAUGGUAGCAAGAUUUGUGCCUUCAGAUUUUUUUUUUGGUCCCUAUCUUGUUCAUCCUGUUAUCACCAAAACUGGCUCUAGCUCCUCACUUUGCACUGCCUGGAAAUUAUAAUUGAAAACUGAGGCCUCUGAUAUCAUCAUGUGCCUGGGCUUUUAAGGCCCCUUUUGCUCCAGUUUUUACUUCAGUCAUAGACAACGCAUUUUAUACAGAAUGACCAGUUUUUAUCUCUGUAUGUCUGUAUGUUUAUAUCCCAAAAUUACUGUAACCAUAAGCAUUACAUUACACAGCUUCAUUGCACUAAAAGUUGAAGGAAUUUGUAGUGCAAAAAUUUGAAAAAAUAUUUGUUCUCAAAUUACAAAUAGCAUUUCUUACCAUCUCCAUGUCCUCCCUUCUCUAUAUUUAUCUUUUUUUCCCUUCUGUUUCUUUGGGGUUUCUUUCAAUCAAAACUAAUUGUUUACCUUAAUCAUCUUCAUGCUUUUUCUUUAUGGGGAUACUGGUCUGUGGAAAAAAAAGUAAUCAAGCCCCAUUACAUUACUGAAACUGUACUAAACUAUUUUUAUAGAUGAGCUUAUAGAGAAUCAUUAAGAACUUAUUUCUCUCCUUUGUGUUCAAGGCCUGAAAAAUGAGAAAGUUAUCAAAUAUUUUAAAAGCCCCUGUGACAAGUAGGAAGAAAACAAAUUGUCUUAAGAUCCUCUGAAAUCAUUGAAGUGCCUAUAUUUCCAGAAGCUUUUAUUAUUAUUAUUUAUAUGUAUUUAAUACUAUAAUAAUUAGGUACUGAUUCACGAAACUAUUUUCUGUGUAGGUAAGAUUCCAUGCAGCAAUAAUUUCACAAUGAUUUUUGCAACUUUGGCUUGGGGAAGCAGAAAGAGCUGAUAGUUGGUCAGAAGACACCUUAAAAGGUCUAUGGGCAACCUUAUUUUCUAAAUCCUAUUGAAAAGAAUAUCCAGCAGGGAAAAAAAAAAAGACAUAAUAUCUUUAGACUUUUCAUGCAUAUGUUGGUGCAAAUAUUAGUUCUGAACUAAUGUAAUAUCUAAAUGUUCCACAUUCAUAAGACUACCCUGAAAAUUACUGCUGGUUUUAAAUGAGAUUUUUUAAACUGCCUUAUUUUUAAACUAUUUGUAAACCACGACAACAAUGCUGUAUUUCUCAGUUUUGAAGUAUUUAAUAUAUAAGCACUAUAAAGAUUAUUAUGUUAAAGUUACAAUUGUAAUACAUCUCAGUUAUGUUAUUCCAAUGAUUAUGUCAGUGGAAAAGUGAAAUUGAUUAUAUUUUAUUUACCUAUGAUAAAUUCAAGAAAUGAUAAAUCUGGCAUUGUCAUUACAAACCCUAGAGAAAAUAAAGCUACUCCUAUUGUGCAUACACAAAUGAUUGCCGUAGGGCCAGUCUUAAAAGGUUCAAAGUGAAAAUUGAGACAAAACUGAAGCUCAUGUGAGUUUUUAGAUGGUGAAAAAAAUAAGCUGCUAUUUCUAAAGGAAACUUUAGAUGUAACCGCAGAUGAGGAGUUUUGAGAGGCCAGCUUCUGGACUAGAUGGAAAACAUCAAAUUUGAAAUUCAAGCUUUCAUAUUAGAGGUAUAGUGAUAGUGAUUUUGCUCUUAAUUAUAAUUUGUGUAUUUAAGUCUACCAUAAGCAAGUUCAACUCUGAACUUUUAUCAUUUUUCUUUAAUGAUAAUAUUUUUCAGUGCCAUGACACUGUAAAGAAGACAAUAGAGAUGUCCAUUUUGGAUAUAGCAAGAAAGUGUAACAUAAGUAAUAUGGAAAUGGAGCAUUUGUGCCACUCACGUCUCUCAGAAAUUAGUCAUCUAGAUUUAAAUAGUUAUAGAGAAUCCCUCUGAAGGCAGCGGAAGACAAUCCCUGAAGAUUGUCUUUCAUGUAGCAACUCCAAAAAACAGAUGGACUUCCUCUUUUUACUUCCUCUGUUAUUCUUUUACCUGAAGAAAAAUAUUUACCUUAGUCUAGAUACAGAAUGUAGGUCUGAAGUUAGAGAAGACGGAUUUCUCCUUGAUGGAUUUACCAUGUACUAGCUGUGUUCCUAACCAGAAGUAAGCUUUCAAAUAACUAUUAGUCAUGACAUAAUGCUUUUGUUUAUUUUUUUGUUAUAAGCAAAACAUACUUCUAAAAGGACUGCAGAGUAUUGUUGAUAGCCUCUCACUGGUUAAAGAAACAGGAGAGAUCAGAUUGCUUGGAAUUUUUUUGUUGUUUGUUUUGAGGUUGUUUUUUUUGAAGACUAUAUUUGCGCUAGUCAGGCUAAAGUCCUGCCAUAAUUGAAAUAAGUACUUUUAUAUAUGCUUUAUUCAUCAUAAUUUGCGAUGUUUAUGGUAGAGAGAGCUAAAUGUACACAUAAACAACUGGGCAAAUGAGCUUCAUCUGGUAAUAUCCCAUCCAGCAACACAUGCACACAUGCAUGGGGAGAAAAGUACAUAAAAAGAUUAUAAAGAUACUCAUUUUAUACCUAUGUGGAAAUGCAAGAAGUCUAUACAUUUUAGUCCAAAAAAUCAUGGAGCACAUGGGUAGAUUAUCAUUGACAACUGAAAGAUUUAAAUCAAAUUCUGUAGGUAACCAAAUAUUUUGCAUCAACAAUAUGCUGCCUUUUUUAUGAAAAAUGUGUGUGAGGGUUAUUUGACCAGCUUAAAUCCAUUCUCUUGGGGGAAACAAAGAGGUACAUCUUAUUCAAAAGGACUUCAGUGAUUUUUUGUAUUAUGCAGAUUUACUCCACUGCUCUUGAGCAAUGGCAUUCAAAAAGCAGACAAACACUAACAUGUAUUAGAAUAAAUAUGAUGAGUACCAAAUAUGUGUCUACUGUUGAACUUGUUUCUCUGUUCUAGAAAUCCUUCUGAGUUAAUUUCAUCUAGAUUACACACAUGCCAUGUUUUGAAAUGCAAAAGUACUUGAAUUAUACUCUGCAUUAUAUGCUGAUUCACCUCUAAAACUAGGAAUUAACAUGUAUAUGUAUGUGCACUAGGAUUUUUCUCAAUCAUUUUCUAAUUUUUCAAAAAUUAUAAAAAUCAACAUUAUUUUAAUUUAAAUGUGGGUUUUUUUCUAUUUUUAAGACAGAAUUUCCUUAUGUUCUACAUAUUAAACAGAAAGACUGAAUAUCAAAUCUGGUCUUGUAUACAAUUUGGUGGAAAUUCAGCAGUGAAUAGGAUGAAAAAGUUUUAUAUGGAAGAGUGUUAAAACCCACUAUUUCUAGUGGAAGCGCCCCAACUAACUCAUGAUAAAAAGGUUAUAGAUGCAAGAAUGUAAGAAGCAACAUAAAGUCAUACCAUUAUUUGCUUUGAUACACAGUAAAUUCUUUAAGAGCAUCCUUAGUACAUAUAACAUAUAUGCUUAGAAUGCAUAGAACUGAUGUGAUGUUUUUAUUCUAAAUACUAUUGUGUAUUUUUGUGGUUUCAAAAAAAACCCCAAACCAAAACAAACAGACAAACAAAAACAAAAUCAAAACCAAACAAAACCUAAUACCACCACCAAAAAUAACAAAAAAAACACCGCAAAAAAAAAAAAAGCAGGAUAUUUGAUGACUGUCUUCAUAUUUCACAAUUCCUGACCAAAAGAAGACAUAUUUUGGUAGCAUAACAGCAAGACUUAUUUCUUAUCCAAAAUUACUGUGAGAUAAUGAUAUGGCAGCUACCUAUUAGCACUAUGCUGGGUGCUUGAUGCCUUAGAGACUUGCAUUUGGCAAAUGGUUCAUUUUGCAGAAUGGAUUCAUGAACUGUCUUGUGGUGACAGGCACUAUUUAAUUACUAGUAUGCUUAAGAAAGUCUUGGGUGAUGAGGACACACUACAGGACAGAUUUCAAACAUACAUACAUGACCUGUGCCCUACUGUUUGCUUUUUGAAGCUCUGGCUCUGUUUAAUUUAGAAACUCCUUAUGUGGUCAAGGCCAAAAGUUUCUUUCUCCUUUUCCUGAAAAUAAUUCAACUGCCAAUUUCAUGGCUCAGUCUGGUAUCCUUUACAGAGGACACUAUUAAAUUUUCAGAAUCAAAGGCCUGAAUGAAAGGUAGAGAAAGUUCCUAAUAUAGCAGCUAACUGCAUUAUAUGGUGCAAACAUAUAUCCCAAUAUAUAGAAUGGAAAGAAAUCUUUAAGACUUUGUAAAUGUUGACUAAAGGAAAAAUCAUACUUCAAAGACAGGAUUGCUCUGAAAGCUCACAUGGCUUAAUACUGAAUUGCUGCUGUUAAAUUUCCACAAGGACUUCUUGAAAGAGAAGGAAAGAAUCAUUGAAAAUUGUGGCUUAUAGUGACACCUGUAUGAAACUGCUGUAAAGAAACUCCAAAAUAUAUUUCAAAAAAAUCCCCACAACCAAACAAAAACUAAAACCCAAUAGAACAACCUUAUUCCAGGGUUUUCAAAAUCUUAUGCACAGCACAUCAUUAAAUAAACUGCCUUGCUUUGCAAAUUAUUCCAAUAAAUGAAGGGUACUGUAUCAAUUCAGGGAAAAAGUCUAGGAUACAAAAGAAAUGGAGUGGUGGUGGCUGUAAUUAUCAGAGUGAUAGAAAGUAAAAUUUAUUCAUCCUGAUUGACUUCAAAUUUGUGGAAUAUUAUCCUGAAUGGUUGAUAUUAUGAAGCUAAAAUAAGUAAAAUUUAUUAAAUUUCUUAUCACAAAACUUAGAUUUUAUGCUUUUGUCACUCAUUGAUCUUACUGCAUUUCAUAGGAUCAUGGAAUGGUUUGGGUUUGAAGCAACUUCAAAGGUCAUCUAGUUCCAACCUCCUGCCUUGGGCAGGGACACCUUUCAUUAGACUAGGCUGCUCAAAGCCUCGUGCAAGCUGGCCUUCUAGGUAAAUACUUCCACAAAAGGAGCAUCUACAAUGUCUCUGGGUAUUGUGUGUGCAUCACUGACCUCACAGUAAAGAAUUUGUUUCUAAAAUUCAAUUUAAAUCUACUCUCUUUUAGCUUAAAGACAUUCCCACUUGUUCUAUUGCUACUUGACUUUGUAGAUUGUCCUCUCCAACUCCUUCGGGAACCCUGUUUAGGUACUGGAAGGCUGCUAUAAGAUCUUCCUAGACCCUCUCGUCUCCACAAUGAACAACCCCAGAUCUCUCAGCCUGUCUUCACAGGUGAGGUGCUCCAGCCCUCUGACCCGCUUUGUGAUCCACCUGCACACCCCAGCAAUUCCAUGGCCUUAUACUGAGGGCCCUGGAACUGGAUGCAGGUGGCUCUCACCAGAGCAGCGUAAAAAAGAACCACCCACCCUCAGCCUGCAGCCCCCACUGAUUUUUAUCCAGUCCAGGGUACAAUUGGCUUUCUGAACCACAAUUGCACAGUGCAGGGUCACAUUUGGCUUCUCAUCAACUAACACCCUCAAUUCCUUCUCCACAGGGCACCUUUCAGUCUAUUCUCCUCCUAGUCUGUUCUUGUGCUUGGGAUUGUACAGGACUUUGUGUAUGGCCAUGCUGAACUUCAUGAGAUUUACACAGGCCCACCUAUCCAGACUGUCGAAGUUCCUCUGGGUGGCAUCCCUUCCCUCCAGCUUGUUGACUGAACCCCACAACUUUGUGCUGUCAGCAAGCUUGCAGUGGAUGUACUAGAUCCCUCUGUCCAUGUUGUCAAAGCAAAGAUGUUGAAGAGCAUUGGCCCCAUUCCAACCUCUGGAGAACAUCAUGUUCUCAAUUUCACUAUGAAACAUCUCUUUAAUAGUAACAACCAGGGCAGAAUAUGAAAUCCACAUUUUAUUUUUAUUUUAUCCAUGACUUGCUGUGUUUUUUUUUGUUUCAGUGUCUAAAAUUCACUGCUCUAAUUUCAAGGUCAGAUCUCAUCCCAGUUUAUGACUCUAUUCACUACAAAUAGGUAAAUCAAUGUUUACUGUUUCCUUCUGAUAUUUAGUUUUUCACUAGAAAAAACUGUCAAAUAUAAUCUAGGACCUCCAGGGCAUUUCUCUAGAAAAUCCACCUCCAUGAACUGGUUCUAUGACCCUUUAUGUAAUCAUGAUCAUACCCAAAUAUUUUAUUGGGUUUUUUUUUUCCUUAGCAAUACUGUUUCAUUUACCAUAAUUUUCCUAUUUUAUCAGUUUUUUACUGAUAAUUUGUUAUUUCUACAGAUGUUACACUGCAAGAACCAAAGAGAAUGCUGUGAGUUGUUGCAUAGUGGUCUAUGAAAUACACAAGAGAUAAUUUGAUCUUUUUUCAAGAGUAGGAGCUUGGAUCUUCCCCUGAGGGUUGUUACUCUCUUGCUGAGGACUAUUACACAGAAACAUGAAAACCUCCCCAAAGAGAAUUAUUUUGGUAUGAGAAACACUGUGCUAUUACAGAUUAAUUUCUCUCCUGAAAUCUAUUGAUUUCACACUGAUUUCCCAGUGCUCUGUUUUGUUCCAACAUUUUGCCAGGGAAAAGAAGAAAUAUUGCAGCUGGGGUUAGGAAGAACAGAAGGACAUUUUCAAGGUUUCCAGUUCUUCUCCCUGUUGGUGUGGAAAGACCAGUAGCCAUUCCAUGAUUAUAGAAAAUGAAAAACAAGCUAAUUUAGUAUAGUAGGCUUGAUCUGAGCAGGAUCCAAUAUGGCAAGGUCAAGCAAAAUAAGACAAAGCCAAGAAGGUAGCAGCACUUGUAUCAAAGUUAUUUAGCAGUAUGUAACCCUAAGGAUUUUGGUUUUUAGUCAUUACACAAUGCAGUGAUGAACAGUAUAUUGUCUAAUUUCAAUGUGUUUUCACUUAGUAAAGCAGAUGUUGACUUUCUUAUGUGAUACUUCUUAUGGUAUACUGAACAGAUUUUAGUUCUUACUUACUGUAUCUUCUCUGUGUUUCAGCCAAUAUAUAGCCUUUUUCAUCAGCCUUUUUUUCUCUUUCAAGAUGAUCCAACACAUAAAACGUUAGCUUCUGAUAUAGACUCCUCACAAAGAAUCUCUAAAAAAUCUUAUCAAAAUAUGUUUCCUGCACAUCAUCAUAAUUCUGGCAGCUUGAUUCACACUGAGAUCUGACAAAUUAAUAAGAUGACCAUUACUUUAAAAUGAUAAAACAACAACAAAAAAAAAAAAAACCAGAAAAAAAAACCACAAAAAUUUUUGUGUUAAUCAAGCUGUAAUUUUCCAAAUUUGCACUCUUGAAAUAGCUUUAAAGAUUUCAGAUGGCUGUAAGUGUAACUAUCUAAAACUGUAGUACUAUAGUACUAUAGUACUCUAAGGUUUUCUUCAAGUUAUUAUGUUACAGUUCUACACUGCUCCGAGAAAUUUUGCUUCUACCAAUUUCAUAACAAAUAGUAUUCAGUGGUUUCUUUUCUUAAUUGCUCCCUUCAUUCAAUUGUAAAGACAUUUAUAAAAUAUAAAAAAAUAUCUGCUAUGCAUUUGUUUUUUCUUGAAAUUUAUUACGUAUCUAACACUAUGCAUUUAGGUAAACUUGUAAAUAUUUAUUUACCUAAAUAUAUAAAAUAAAGCAAAUAGUGUUACAA